rnacentral:lncRNA from 1 species
CCAAUUAACCAUUUUUUAACCUAUAUUUCAUUAAUUAUACUCCCCUCUCUCUCUCUCUCUCCCCCUCCCUCUCAGUAACACCACACCAAACACGCCCACUCCUCCCUCUUCCCUCGAACUGUAUCUCUAUCUCUUCGAUCUCUCUCUCUAUAUCUACGAUCUCAAUCUUCUCUGUUUUCUGAGGUUUUAAGCUCUGAAAGCCCCCGAUCUGCUUCGAUCGUGUCCAGAUCUCUAGUUCUGGUAAGCUUUUCUGCUCAAAUUCGCUCAAUUAUGAUGUUUAGUAAUGUAAUUUGCUUGAAUUUUGCUGCUGUUAAUUUUACAUGCUAAUAGCUUGAUGGGAACUGACCUAAAAUAAUUCACCAAAACCAAUGAGUUGGUCUUGUCAUCAAACCACGACGACUCCGCUCUGUUAGAACAAUUCCCUGCCUUCAUCCCAUUAUCUCCAUCUAAAAAUCAUAUACUCAAAUAGUAAGCGAGCGAGCAAUUAAAAUACUCCGCAUCGAUUUAAAUGAUUUUUAUUUAUUUAUUUAUUACACUGAUUUUCAACCAUGAAGUUCCACUGAUAAGCAAUUCCUUCGGUCUGUUGUCUGAACUUUGGGAUGGCAGUCCUGUUUUGCUGAGAUAAAAGAGUACAUACCGUGGGACAGAAUAAAUUUGCCUAAAGUGGAUUUGGGGUGUGGUGAUUGGUUCGUUAAAAUUGGUUUAGGAAGUAAACACGAUAAGGGAAAUUCCAUUUAGUAUAAACUUUAGCAAUGAAAACUAUGAUAAGAUAUGAACAUAUAAUGUAAUUUCUGAGGUUUGCAGUCGGAAGAGGAAUCUACGAUUCAUUUACCAGUUAGGAAGUUUUUCAUGUAUGUUUUGUGAAUGCUUUAAUAAGGCCAAAUGCUUUGUGUCUGAAAAUUUAAUUUUAAGCUCUUAUGAUCAAUCAAAGGAUACAAUAUUCUCAAGAUUAUUAUCAUAAUUUUAUUAUGAUAAUAGUUAAAACUAUCAAAAAAUAAAUGGUUAUACAUGGCUCUGCGGCCACCACCACCUGCCACUGCCUCCACAAGAGAUCAUAGUUACACGUUUUACUUUUCUGAAUGAAAACUUGAUUGCAGUAAAAAAUGGCAUGUUGAGGAAUAAGAAUUUUAGGACUGCACCAGGAGCGAGCCCUCCAUGAGGAUUGAGGAGGGUAUGCUUCUGUUGUUCCCCCUCCCCCCCCUAACAUGCCUGCUUAAUUGGUUACUGGGGCAUUGGGUUGGCUUGACUCGUGUGUCAGAGGCACACCACUUUUAACUCCAGUUACAAAAGAAGUGGAAGCAUAAAAACCAACUUCUACUAAUUUUAUCAACGACCUAUUAUUAGCAUUAUAAUUAAAUAGAAAUUCAACAAGCCAUGAGGAGACAUGUAGAAGACAUACAAUGAUUAAUCGAAUACAGUACCAAUUAUAAGAGUUCCACUGUUUUAAUACAGUUUCAGAAAUACUAGUAAAGCACCCAAUGUAAUUAGCUCAUUAUGAGGUUUCUAAAGGGAACUUACAAGCAGAAAGAGAGAAAAGUGGUGUUCCUUUCCACCCAGAAAGUAGGCAUUUUACAUCCAUACUUGGUGUGCAAAAACUCCCAACAGCAGAUUUCUCAAUCACAAGGUUUGCUUGGUAUAGAGAUGACUUACUCAACUCUUUUUCCACAAUAUAAAAACUAUUGAAUAAAGUCCUCCAACCAUCAAUCUUUAUAUCCAAAGCUGCCCUUUCCUCAAUGUCGAAGCCUUCUUUAUACUAUAUUUGAUCUUGUUAUUUUGGUUUAAAGUCCUUUUCCAUCUCUAUCUCUUCAAGGAGAUUCAAUAAUAUACUUGUCAUGUUAUUCAGGUUAUUGCAGUUACUUGUUAUGGAGGUCUGGUUGAUGUUAUUUCACAAUUUAGAAGUCACUUUUGCACAUUUCAGUGUUGAUGCCUAUGAAAGGAGUUGGCUUAGCCCUUUGGAAUUGACUUUGGGAAAAUAUAUGUUUUGUAAUGUUAAAUUUUAAUAUGUCUGUCUAAUUAAUUAAAUUUUAAUAUGUCUGUCUAAUUAAUUAAAUUUUAAUAUGGUCUAUAGAAUUAUAUGGUUCAGUUUUCUAUUUAUCUUAUAUGUUCUAUAAAUUAAUAUGUUCUUAUUUUGGGUGACUAAUGUUAUUCUGUAUGUGUCAGUUUAUGUAAAUUCUAGUAUUCAAGUUACAAAAGAAUUAUAAAUAUGUUUCAAUAUUUAAACGACAUUCAUAGAAUUAAUUAUACUAUGAUGUAUUUUGGAUUCCAACCUUUCUAUUAGCAGGUUGAUAAUAAUUGUUUCCGUCUCUUGCCUACCUACUAAAAGUAAUGAUUUUGGCUCAUUUGCAACUUAUAUACCAACACAAAAUUGAUUAAUUCAACAAUGAUUAGCGAUAAUUUUAUUAAAAUAAACGUAGCCAAAUUAAUAAUAAUUAUG